UGUGAAGAAGAAGAAAUGAAAAAAAGAUGAAAUGAAAAAGAAAAAGAGAAGGAGGAGAUGAUGCAACAAUGAUGACAAUAGUGGCUUAUUGGUGACAUUGAUGACACAUAGGUGGAGGACACUAGUGACGAUGGUUGCAUGAGUUAGAGAAUGAGGUGGAGGAAGAGGAAGAGGAAAAGAGGAAGGAGGAGGAAGAGGGACAUGACCUAAAGGUGGAGAAGAGGAAGAGGAUGAUAACCUAGAGGUGACGGUGGU
rnacentral:lncRNA from 1 species